AAAAAAAAAAAAAAAAGGCAUGAUAAAGAAAAAUAUUUGGCACAAAUUUGCAUGCUUAAGCUAUGUGAAAGGCGAAAAUUGUAACAAAUACUUAUUGGGCCUUAACCUAUCAAUAUUACAUCAUAUGUAACCUUCGCUGGUAAAAAUAGUCAACUUCUAAAACAAAAAUAAAAUUCAACCUCAAUUCCAAUUCAUCAGGCCGCCGAGGCCCCAGACUGAAACUGCUGCAACAU
rnacentral:misc_RNA from 1 species